rnacentral:tRNA from 1 species
GGCGGAGUAGCUCAGUGGCCAGAGCAGUGGAUCCAUAAUCCAUUGGUCGGGGGUUCAAAUCCCCCCUCCGCUA